UACGGAGGGUGCAAGCGUUAUCCGGAUUUACUGGGUUUAAAGGGUGCGUAGGCGGACUAUUAAGUCAGGGGUGAAAUCUCCGAGCUCAACUCGGAAACUGCCUUUGAUACUAUUAGACUUGAAUUAUGUUGAGGUUGGCGGAAUAUAACAUGUAGCGGUGAAAUGCAUAGAUAUGUUAUAGAACACCGAUUGCGAAGGCAGCUGGCUAAACAUAUAUUGACGCUGAUGCACGAAAGUGUGGGUAGCAAACAGG
rnacentral:rRNA from 1 species